rnacentral:lncRNA from 1 species
AUGGAUGUGAUGGCUGUUUUCUGCAUAAUUUGCAGCCCAAUUCAUGUCAUGCUGUGCAAAUCUGAACUCAAAGUAGAUGGCUGCAAUUUGAGAGGCAGUUUGGCUUAUGUGUACUUAAGAAGCAGCUUUGUUCAUUCAGAAGACAAAGCACAGAGCAGGGAGCCGGGAGCCUGUAAGCAUCGCGCUGGCCCGGAGUGCGGACUCUCGGUGUGGUCUUCUGCACAGCACCCACCUCCAGGCCUCGGUCCCCUAGCCCAGGGAGGUGACAUGGAUUGGUCAUCAGCCUCCAUACAGGCACGAGGGUGUCUCUGCAAGACCGCUGACACCACACCACAGCUUGCCACAAAAUGAUUCUCUCCUUUAUAGUCUUUCUUAAAAAACACCACUUGGACUUCCUUGGUGGCACAGUGGAUAAAGAAUCCACCUGCCAACACAGGGGACACAGGUUUGACCCCUAGUCUGGGAAGAUUCCACGAGCCGUGGAGCAACCAAGCCUGUGCACGACAACUACUGAGCCUGCGCGCUGCAAUUACUGAGGCCAAACACCUGGAUCCCGUGCUUCGCAACAAGAGAAGCCACCACAAGAAGAAGCCUGAGCCCUGCAAUAAAGAGAGGCUGCCACUCACCGCAACCAGAGAAAGCCACAGAAAACAACAAAGACCCAGUGCAGCCAAAAAAAGAAAAAAACAACACUUUUCCCUUAUCUCCUGCUUAUGAGAACCUGGAGUAAUGUUCUACUUUUCUUCCACAAAGAGAUGAAUAUUCUUAGACUUUCAAGAGUGUUUUAAUCUUGCCCGAUUACCCACUUAGCUUCAACCUGUUUCUAUCACCGAGGCCACAUCAUUCACCUUUGUGCAUCUCGUCCAUCCCUUCAUUUUAUUUUUCGUAUCUAUUGUCUGUUUAUUCCUACUCUUCUUCCUUUUUUCUCGUUACCUCAAUCUCAGCCAGUCUUCUGGCCACAGACCAAGUCCCUCUUCUUCCAUGAAUCCCAGGCUAAUCUGCUCCUUUAUCUCCUUUGUCUGAAUUCCUGUUGCCCUUACAGCCUAGCUUAGCAAUGGCUUUCUUGAAAAUGAAUUUUGUCUUCCUAGCUGGAUUGUAAAUCUUUCAAGCAUGGGCAAUCUGCUUUCUCUCUAUUUUUUAAUCCAACCAUGUGAUGUCACCAAGGAAGUUCAAUUAAGUACAUGUUGAUAAAUAGCUAUGCUGCUGCUGCUGCUGCUAAGUCGCUUCAGUCGUCUCCGACUCUGUGGGACCCCAUAGGCGGCAGCCCACCAGGCUCCCCGUCCCUGGGAUUCUCCAGGCAAGAACACUGGAGCAGGUUGCCAUUUCCUUCUCCAAUGCAUGAAAGUGAAAAGUGAAAGUGAAGUUGCUCAGUCGUGUCCGACUCUUAGCGACCCCAUGGACUGCAGCCCACCAGGAUCCUCCAUUCAUGGGAUUUUCCAGGCAAGAGUACUGGAGUGGGGUGCCAUUGCCUUCUCCGUAUGUACAGCUAUAGUUGUAGCUUAACUACAGUCCUCGGUCCCUCUUAGUUCAACAAAGAAUGAGGGGGUAAGACAAGAUCCUUGCUCCCCAGAAACUCACAACUACAAUUACCCAGAGACGCAAUCUCAGCCAUUUUUCUGGGUUCCACAGUU